GAGUGGACAUUAAAGGGAGAUGGGAGGGAGUGCACAGAGGGAGGGGAGAUCAAGCUUCCCCUUAUGCACUCCCUCCCAUCUCCCUUUAAUGUCCACUC